GCUGGGUGUGGUGGUGCACACCUGUAAUCCCAGUGACUCUGGAGGCUAAGGCAGGAAGACCCCAAGUUUGAGGACAGCCUGAGCAACUUAGCAAGACCCUGUCUCAA
rnacentral:sRNA from 1 species